GGAGGUGCUGGGGUUGUCGCUGACUUUUGAAAAUCGUCGUGCACACCUCGGUGCUCUCACAUACAAUCCAUCUCACCCAUCUUGUGCACCACCGCGUGGAGGCCCCUUUUGGCUAGUUCUAAGGGGGGUUUUCACGUUUUUAUACAUACACCAUUUUAAUGCAAUGCGUAGAAUGUCAUACUUUUGCGAUCACACGCAAUUAAUACAACUUUCAACAACGGAUCUCUUGGCUCUCGCAUCGAUGAAGAACGCAGCGAAAUGCGAUACGUAAUGUGAAUUGCAGAAUUCAGUGAAUCAUCGAAUCUUUGAACGCACCUUGCGCCCUUUGGUAUUCCGAGGGGCACACCCGUUUGAGUGUCGUGACAUYCUCAAACCUUCUUGGUUUCUUGACCAGGAAGGCUUUGGACUCUGGAGGUUCUUGCUGGCCUUACUUUCUUUGAACCCAGCUCCUCUGAAAUGAAUUAGUGGGAUCUGCUUUGCGGAUCCUUGACGUGAUAAGAUAUUUCUACGUCUUGGAUCUUGCACUGUUCACUCCGGAUCCUGCUUCUAACCGUCUCAUAGAAGACAAUGAAUGGGUCAAGUGAUUGCCACUUGGCCCACAAAACCUGACCUCA
rnacentral:rRNA from 1 species